UACGGGGGGGGCAAGCGUUGUUCGGAGUUACUGGGCGUAAAGGGCUCGUAGGUGGCCAACUAAGUCAGACGUGAAAUCCCUCGGCUUAACCGGGGAACUGCGUCUGAUACUGGAUGGCUUGAGUUCGGGAGAGGGAUGCGGAAUUCCAGGUGUAGCGGUGAAAUGCGUAGAUAUCGAGAGGAACACCUGCGGCGAAGGCGGGUUGCUGGGCUGACACUGACGCUGAUGCGCGAAAGCUAGGGGAGCGAACGGG
rnacentral:rRNA from 1 species